UAGGAUUCCCUCAGUAGCUGCGAGCGAACAGGGAAGAGCCCAGCACCGAAUCCCGCGGCCGAUACCGGGCGCCGGGAAAUGUGGUGUUAGGGAGGGUCCAUUAUCCCGAGGUCAUGCGGCGCGUCCAAGUCCUUCUUGAACGGGGCCACAGCCCAUAGAGGGUGCCAGGCCCGUAGCGACCGCUGCUGACCGCGGGAGGAUCUCUCCUCAGAGUCGGGUUGCUUGAGAGUGCAGCCCUAAGUGGGUGGUAAACUCCAUCUAAGGCUAAAUAUGACCACGAGACCGAUAGCGAACAAGUACCGUGAGGGAAAGUUGAAAAGCACUUUGAAGAGAGAGUUCAAGAGUACGUGAAACCGUUUAGGGGUAAACCUGAGAAACCCGAAAGGUCGAAGGGAGAAAUUCAUUCGCGUUUCGCAGUCGGCGUGAAACGGUCGCGCGACGGAAGAUGCUUUCGGGUGUUUUCCGCGCCUUUCGUUUCGUCGAUCCGAUAGCGAACGCGUGCACUUUUCUCCUGGUAGGACGUCGCGAUCCGUUGGGUGUCGGUCUACGGCUCGCGGUGGAGUCCGAACGUACGGCUUGCCGUCUCACGUUCGAACCCGCGUGUCCCGGCUGACUCGCUCGACGGUAUACGAAAGGUUUAAGGCCGCUCUCGGAGCGUUCGACUCAUUGCAAGCACGUCGGAUGAUUGUCGGCGAUCGGACCUAGUGCCGAUUCUGACCUCCGGCGACUGUUGGCCGUGAAGUUCUCGGACAGACCUUAAGACCGAUCUGCGACGCUAUAGCUUUGGGUACUUUCAGGACCCGUCUUGAAACACGGACCAAGGAGUCUAGCAUGUGCGCGAGUCAUUGGGAAUCACUAAACCUAAAGGCGCAAUGAAAGUAAAAGUCCGCCUUGCGCGGACUUAGGGAAGACGGGCGGUUUACCCUUAAAAGUAGCCGCUCUGCACUCCCGGGGCGUCUCAUUCUCAUCGCGAGAAGAGGCGCACCAAGAGCGUACACGCUGGGACCCGAAAGAUGGUGAACUAUGCCUGGUCAGGACGAAGUCAGGGGAAACCCUGAUGGAGGUCCGUAGCGAUUCUGACGUGCAAAUCGAUCGUCGGAACUGGGUAUAGGGGCGAAAGACUAAUCGAACCAUCUAGUAGCUGGUUCCCUCCGAAGUUUCCCUCAGGAUAGCUGGCGCUCAGUGCGCACGAGUCUCAUCCGGUAAAGCGAAUGAUUAGAGGCAUUGGGGUCGAAACGACCUCAACCUAUUCUCAAACUUUAAAUGGGUGAGAUCUCCGGCCUGCUCGAAUUCAUGAGGCCGCGAGAUUCGGAUCAGAGUGCCAAGUGGGCCAUUUUUG
rnacentral:rRNA from 1 species